UACGUAGGGUGCGAGCGUUGUCCGGAAUUACUGGGCGUAAAGAGCUCGUAGGUGGUUUGUCGCGUUGUUCGUGAAAACUCACAGCUUAACUGUGGGCGUGCGGGCGAUACGGGCAGACUGGAGUACUGCAGGGGAGACUGGAAUUCCUGGUGUAGCGGUGGAAUGCGCAGAUAUCAGGAGGAACACCGGUGGCGAAGGCGGGUCUCUGGGCCGAAAUUGACGCUGAGGAGCGAAAGCGUGGGGAGCAAACAGG
rnacentral:rRNA from 1 species